rnacentral:lncRNA from 1 species
ACAGAAUCAGGCAGCCAAACCUCAGGUCCACCUUCUCCCUGACCCUCUACAUUGAUCGUGUGGCACAGCAGAUCCUGAAGCCAGUGUCGUAUUCUGGAGAUACUGCAAAGUGCUGCCUGUGUCACCCGAGCUGCCUAUGAGCUGAUAGAGGAUCACAGCCUACUCACGUGGGUCAUGAACAGCUUAGAGAAAAGGUUUCUGGAGAACAAGGUGAUAAAUAAAAUGAUUUCCUUUCUCCAUACUCUAUGGGUAAUAAAUUUAAGAGACAAGAGAAAACAAGAAUCAAUCCCAGAAGAACAGCAAACUUAUUCUUAAUAAGCUUGUAAAUGAAUUUCUGUGUGUUUUGGUCGCAUUAAUCAAACAUAUUUGGGAGCUGCUGCUGCUGCUGCUGCUGCACAAGUGGAGUCUUGUCAGCAAAGACCUGCAGCUGCAGAACGACCUGCAGGCCCUGGCUCAGAAGUACCAAAACAAAGAAUUGCUCAAAAAUAUUAAGGGCAAGAACAAACCUCAAACCUCAUCUCCUGUGGUUUGUCACACUCGGAAAUGGAACAAGGUGGGAGAAGAUGACACUGCUGCAGACAUGGAAGUGUCUGAGCUGGAGAAAGCAGAGACCAUCUGAAUUCCAUACUUGCCCAUUGGGACCCUCUUUUCCCAGCACCACCCUCCACACAGAGAAGGGAGACCCUCAGAGCCAGUGAAGGUGGGGGUGAGGCAGUGGCUAUCACCUGUGCAUCCACUCAUGCCGUCACUGAGUAGCUGGUGAGGUCCCUGGCUGAGCAGA